GAUCCUGGCUCAGGAUGAACGCUAGCUACAGGCUUAACACAUGCAAGUCGAGGGGAAACGACAUCGAAAGCUUGCUUUCGAUGGGCGUCGACCGGCGCACGGGUGAGUAACGCGUAUCCAACCUGCCCACCACUUGGGGAUAACCUUGCGAAAGUAAGACUAAUACCCAAUGAUAUCUCUAGAAGACAUCUGAAAGAGAUUAAAGAUUUAUCGGUGAUGGAUGGGGAUGCGUCUGUAUUAG
rnacentral:rRNA from 1 species